rnacentral:rRNA from 1 species
AUUGAACGCUGGCGGCAGGCCUAACACAUGCAAGUCGAGCGGAUGAAGGGAGCUUGCUCCUGGAUUCAGCGGCGGACGGGUGUGUAAUGCCUAGGAAUCUGCCUGGUUGUGUGGGAUAACGUCCGGAAACGGGCGCUAAUACCGCAUACGUCCUGAGGGAGAAAGUGGGUGAUCUUCGGACCUCACGCUAUCAGAUGUGCCUAGGUCGGAUUAGCUAGUUGGUGGGGUAAAGGCCUACCAAGGCGACGAUCCGUAACUGGUAUGAGAGGAUGAUCAGUCAAACUGGAACUGAGACACGGUCCAGACUCCUACGGGAGGCAGCAGUGGGGAAUAUUGGACAAUGGGCGAAAGCCUGAUCCAGCCAUGCCGCGUGUGUGAAGAAGGACUUCGGAUUGUAAAGCACUUUAAGUUGGGAGGAAGGGCAGUAAGUUAAUACCUUGCUGUUUUGACGUUAACAACAGAAUAAGCACCGGCUAACUUCGUG